rnacentral:rRNA from 1 species
GAUGAACGCUGGCGGCGUGCCUAAUACAUGCAAGUAGGACGCAGUUGCGAACGGGUGAGUAACGCGUAGGUACCUACCUAUUAGUGGGGGCUAACAAUUGGAAACGAUAGCUAAUACCGCAUACUAGUAGAUGGACCUGCGUUGUAUUAGCUAGUAGGGAGGGUAAAGGCCUACCUAGGCAACGGUACAUAGCCGACCUGGUAGGGUGAUCGGCCACACUGGGACUGGGACCCGGCCCAGACUCCUACGGAAGGCAGCAGUAGGGAAUCUUCGGCAAUGGGGGGAACCCUGACCGAGCAACGCCGCGGGAGUGAAGAAAGUUUUCGGAUCGUAAAGCUCUGUUGAUAAGGAAGCGGUACUUAACCAGAAAGGGACGGCUAACUACGUGCCAGCAGCCGCGGUAAUAC